rnacentral:rRNA from 1 species
GAUGAACGCUGGCGGCGUGCCUAAUACAUGCAAGUCGAGCGAACGGACGAGAAGCUUGCUUCUCUGAUGUUAGCGGCGGACGGGUGAGUAACACGUGGAUAACCUACCUAUAAGACUGGGAUAACUUCGGGAAACCGUAGCUAAUACCGGAUAAUAUUUUGAACCGCAUGGUUCAAAAGUGAAAGACGGUCUUGCUGUCACUUAUAGAUGGAUCCGCGCUGCAUUAGCUAGUUGGUAAGGUAACGGCUUACCAAGGCAACGAUGCAUAGCCGACCUGAGAGGGUGAUCGGCCACACUGGAACUGAGACACGGUCCAGACGCCUACGGGCGGCAGCAGUAGGGAAUCUUCAGCAAUGGGCGAAAGCCUGACGGAGCAACGCCGCGUGAGUGAUGAAGGUCUUCGGAACGUAAAACUCUGUUAUUAGGGAAGAACAUAUGUGUAAGUAACUGUGCACAUCUUGACGGUACCUAAUCAGAAAGCCACGGCUAACUACGUG